AGAAUGAACGUUGGCGGCGUGGAUUAGGCAUGCAAGUCGGACGGGCCGCAAGGCCAGUGGCGUAAGGGUGAGUAAGGCGACGGCAAUCAACCCCACGGUUGGGUAUAGCCGCGAGAAAUCGCGGGUAAUCCCCAGCGACGCGAGAGGUCGGCAUCGACGUCUCGCCAAAGGCUCGCCGCCGUGGGACGAGCCGUCGUGGUAUUAGGUUGUUGGCGGGGUAACGCCCACCGAAGCCCGCGAUGCCUACCGGGUGUAGCGAGCAGUGGCCCGGCACGACUGGGACUGGAAGACACUGCCCAGACCUCCUACGGGAGCCUGCAGGUCGAGAACUCUUCGGCAAGUGGG
rnacentral:rRNA from 1 species